UAGGGAAUCUUCGGCAAUGGGGGGAACCCUGACCGAGCAACGCCGCGUGAGUGAAGAAGGUUUUCGGAUCGUAAAGCUCUGUUGUUAAGGAAGAACGAGUGUGAGAAUGGAAAGUUCAUGCUGUGACGGUACUUAACCAGAAAGGGACGGCUAACUACGUGCCAGCAGCCGCGGUAAUACGUAGGUCCCGAGCGUUGUCCGGAUUUAUUGGGCGUAAAGCGAGCGCAGGCGGUUAGAAAAGUCUGAAGUGAAAGGCAGUGGCUCAACCAUUGUAGGCUUUGGAAACUGUUUAACUUGAGUGCAGAAGGGGAGAGUGGAAUUCCACGUGUAGCGGUGAAAUGCGUAGAUAUAUGGAGGAACACCGGUGGCGAAAGCGGCUCUCUGGUCUGUAACUGACGCUGAGGCUCGAAAGCGUGGGGAGCGAACAGG
rnacentral:rRNA from 1 species